AAGGGGUGACGGCGUACCUUUUGUAUAAUGGGUCAGCGACUUACGUUCAGUAGCAAGCUUAACCGUAUAGGGCAGGCGUAGCGAAAGCGAGUCCGAAUAGGGCGUUCAGUUGCUGGGCGUAGACCCGAAACCAAGUGAUCUAUCCAUGGCCAGGAUGAAGGUGCGGUAACACGUACUGGAGGUCCGAACCCACUAACGUUGAAAAGUUAGGGGAUGAGCUGUGGAUAGGGGUGAAAGGCUAAACAAACUUGGAAAUAGCUGGUUCUCUCCGAAAACUAUUUAGGUAGUGCCUCGUGUCUCACCUUCGGGGGUAGAGCACUGUCAUGGUUGGGGGGUCUAUUGCAGAUUACCCCGCCAUAGCAAACUCCGAAUACCGAAGAGUGCAAUCACGGGAGACAGACAUCGGGUGCUAACGUCCGGUGUCAAGAGGGAAACAACCCAGACCGCCAGCUAAGGUCCCCAAAUAUAGCUAAGUGGGAAACGAAGUGGGAAGGCUAAAACAGUCAGGAGGUUGGCUUAGAAGCAGCCACCCUUUAAAGAAAGCGUAAUAGCUCACUGAUCGAGUCGUCCUGCGCGGAAGAUGUAACGGGGCUAAGCUAUAUACCGAAGCUGCGGAUGCGUGCUUUGCACGCAUGGUAGGAGAGCGUUCCGUAAGCCUGCGAAGGUGCGUUGAAAAGCGUGCUGGAGGUAUCGGAAGUGCGAAUGCUGACAUGAGUAGCGAUAAAGGGGGUGAAAGGCCCCCUCGCCGUAAG
rnacentral:rRNA from 1 species